CACCAACUCCGCUGGGCGGGUCCUGGUGGGAGGGAGGGAGAGGCCGCCCUUCCCCUUCUCACUCGCGCGCUCCCUCCGGCACUGGGCGGCUGGGCGCCACGAGCCUCCGGGACCCUCUGGAUAGCGCCGGCGCCAGAAAAGGGAGAUGAAGCCAGCCCGGUGUCUGCUCUUGGCCUUGGGGCUGUUUGUUGUUUAUAUUGAAUCUGAAGCUAGGGUGGAGGACUCAGAAGGUAACCCUGAUGCCAGAGACAUCACUGUCUAGAGAGGAUACCCCAGCUCUUGCAGGCCUGAUUCCUUACAACUAUGACAUACCUACAUAAGAGGUAUUGGGAUGUAACAAACUGACAAAACAGGAAAACCCUAGGUACACAUUUUUUCUGGCAAAAGCAUCUCAUGAAUAAUGUUUUCCUCUGUUGACAGACAAGUAACUGAUAGAGUAAUGGCACCUCGAACUGUAUGAGGGCCUAGGUAGAUGCGGCAUUCGUGAGUCACACUCAUGUUCCUAGUUAUAGUAUGCCAAUUUUAAUUUUCCCCCCCAAACUGAAAUAAAUGUAAAAUAUACAGCACUCUAACCUUUUCCAAAGAAAUAGCCAUGUUCGUGUGUCUUAACAUGUUGUCAAAAUUAAAAGGGGAGAAAGGGCAAAAUAUUGUGACACUUUAAAAGACUACUGUAAUAGUUGUUGUUUUUUUUACAGUGUGAGCUUUUGUGGAUCAGAAUCCACUUCUUUGGACCCUUGUUGUCUCUACCA